rnacentral:rRNA from 1 species
UACGGGGGGGGCAAGCGUUGUUCGGAAUUACUGGGCGUAAAGGGCUCGUAGGCGGCCAACUAAGUCGGACGUGAAAUCCCUCGGCUUAACCGGGGAACUGCGUCUGAUACUGGAUGGCUUGAAUCCGGGAGAGGGAUGCGGAAUUCCAGGUGUAGCGGUGAAAUGCGUAGAUAUCUGGAGGAACACCGGUGGCGAAGGCGGCAUCCUGGACCGGCAUUGACGCUGAGGAGCGAAAGCGUGGGGAGCAAACAGG